rnacentral:rRNA from 1 species
CCAGCAGCCGCGGUAAUACGUAGGUGGCAAGCGUUGUCCGGAUUUAUUGGGCGUAAAGCGAGCGCAGGCGGUUUCUUAAGUCUGAUGUGAAAGCCUUCGGCUCAACCGAAGAAGUGCAUCGGAAACUGGGAAACUUGAGUGCAGAAGAGGACAGUGGAACUCCAUGUGUAGCGGUGAAAUGCGUAGAUAUAUGGAAGAACACCAGUGGCGAAGGCGGCUGUCUGGUCUGUAACUGACGCUGAGGCUCGAAAGCAUGGGUAGCAAACAGGAUUAGAUACCCUGGUAGUCCAUGCCGUAAACGAUGAGUGCUAGGUGUUGGAGGGUUUCCGCCCUUCAGUGCCGCAGCUAACGCAUUAAGCACUCCGCCUGGGGAGUACGACCGCAAGGUUGAAACUCAAAGGAAUUGACGGGGGCCCGCACAAGCGGUGGAGCAUGUGGUUUAAUUCGAAGCAACGCGAAGAACCUUACCAGGUCUUGACAUCCUUUGACCACUCUAGAGAUAGAGCUUUCCCUUCGGGGACAAAGUGACAGGUGGUGCAUGGUUGUCGUCAGCUCGUGUCGUGAGAUGUUGGGUUAAGUCCCGCAACGAGCGCAACCCUUAUUACUAGUUGCCAGCAUUUAGUUGGGCACUCUAGUGAGACUGCCGGUGACAAACCGGAGGAAGGUGGGGACGACGUCAAAUCAUCAUGCCCCUUAUGACCUGGGCUACACACGUGCUACAAUGGAUGGUACAACGAGUUGCGAGACCGCGAGGUUUAGCUAAUCUCUUAAAACCAUUCUCAGUUCGGAUUGUAGGCUGCAACUCGCCUACAUGAAGCCGGAAUCGCUAGUAAUCGCGGAUCAGCAUGCCGCGGUGAAUACGUUCCCGGGCCUUGUACACACCGCCCGU